rnacentral:tRNA from 1 species
CGCGGGGUAGUGUACGGUGCACGUGGGGCUCAUAAUCCCACAGGCCGGGUUCGACUCCCGGCCCCGCAA